rnacentral:rRNA from 1 species
AGUGAACGCUGGCGGUAGGCCUAACACAUGCAAGUCGAACGGCAGCACAGUAAGAGCUUGCUCUUACGGGUGGCGAGUGGCGGACGGGUGAGGAAUACAUCGGAAUCUACUUUUUCGUGGGGGAUAACGUAGGGAAACUUACGCUAAUACCGCAUACGACCUACGGGUGAAAGCAGGGGAUCUUCGGACCUUGCGCGAUUGAAUGAGCCGAUGUCGGAUUAGCUAGUUGGCGGGGUAAAGGCCCACCAAGGCGACGAUCCGUAGCUGGUCUGAGAGGAUGAUCAGCCACACUGGAGCGGAGACACGGUCCAGACUCCUACGGGAGGCAGCAGUGGGGAAUAUUGGACAAUGGGCGCAAGCCUGAUCCAGCCAUACCGCGUGGGUGAAGUAGGCCUUCGGGUUGUAAGGCCCUAUUGUUGGGAAAGAAAAGCAGCAGGUUAAUACCCCGCUGUUCGGACGGUACCCAAAGAAUAAGCACCGGCUAACUUCGU